GUUCAGACUGCACGAUUUUAGCCCAGUUUUUGGCUCCCCGACAGGUUUUGAGAAAUCGCCGAUAAAUGCCCGAAAUCACAGGCAAAUCGGUGGUCGUUCACGCGAGUGACAAUCAUGCAGUGUGAAUGAGCAAAGACGCGAUCUAAUUAUGUCGGCGAUGACUGACAGCCAAUGAGAGAGCAAGAUACAGAGCAGCGGGGAGUUCGGGGAGGAGUUAUAGACCACAAUAUCAGCAAGCAUGGCUUCGUUUCAGAAAAAGGCUUCUUCUCUGUCUAUUUGGACCCAAGAAAUGGAAGAAAAAUUAGUAGAAAUCAGCGCACAGGCAAUUCAUAUUGCAAGCUUCUUGCUUGCAUUCAUUUCUAUCAUUUUUAUUAAUAAUCCCAGUCUCACGUGAGAACUCCGGUCUUGCACGCGUGGUAUCGCAUUGUUUCCUUGUCACAUCUCGCGUGUGUUUGGUUGUGAAACGUAGUUUGCGUGCCAGACAGAGUUGUCGGCGAUUCUUCCUAUGGUAAAGUCAUGCAGUGUGAAACCUUCUGUCGCCGAUCCAUCGUGCAGUGUGAACACAGCAGCGACUGAAUGCUGGCCAAGAUAGUCAUGCAGUGUGAAAAGAACAGUGACCCGACUACUUUGAAAAUCGUGCAGUCUGAACUCGUCUUAAGUUGACUUACCCUGAGAUGAGAAACUUUUUGGUUUCAGAACAGCUGAACUGAGUUAGUUCAAUCCACUCUGAGAAGGUUGACUCUCAGUACAUUAUUUAUUUAACACACAAACUUAUUUACAUUUCAAAUUUACACAUAUCAUACCUGUACAUAAUUGUCUAUAUUUUAUAUUUUGGUUUUUGCUUUUUUGUACAUUGUUUAUUUUGUCUAUUUUUAUAUAAUUUUUAUUAUUAUUAUUAUUUUCUGUGUCCUGUCUAGUCACUGUCAUUCUGUUCCACUGUGGAGCUUCUGUCACUAAAACAAAUUCCUUGUAUGUGUAAACAUAGCUGGCAAUAAAGCUCAUUCUGAUUCUGAUGAUGACGGCGCC
ensembl:lncRNA